rnacentral:rRNA from 1 species
ACGGGUGAGUAAUGCUUAGGAAUCUGCCUAUUAGUGGGGGGCAACAUUCCGAAAGGAAUGCUAAUACCGCAUACGCCCUACGGGGGAAAGCAGGGGAUCUUCGGACCUUGCGCUAAUAGAUGAGCCUAAGUCAGAUUAGCUAGUUGGUGGGGUAAAGGCCUACCAAGGCGACGAUCUGUAGCGGGUCUGAGAGGAUGAUCCGCCACACUGGGACUGAGACACGGCCCAGACUCCUACGGGAGGCAGCAGUGGGGAAUAUUGGACAAUGGGCGCAAGCCUGAUCCAGCCAUGCCGCGUGUGUGAAGAAGGCCUUUUGGUUGUAAAGCACUUUAAGCGAGGAGGAGGCUACUUGGAUUAAUACUCUAGGAUAGUGGACGUUACUCGCAGAAUAAGCACCGGCUAACUCUGUGCCAGCAGCCGCGGUAAUACAGAGGGUGCGAGCGUUAAUCGGAUUUACUGGGCGUAAAGCGUGCGUAGGCGGCUUUUUAAGUCGGAUGUGAAAUCCCUGAGCUUAACUUAGGAAUUGCAUUCGAUACUGGGAAGCUAGAGUAUGGGAGAGGAUGGUAGAAUUCCAGGUGUAGCGGUGAA